CUCUCCUUAUCCCUUCACACGCACGCCUACCCAUCGAAGCCACCGCAUACCACGCCGCAAUUCGCCUGAGGCCCUCAUGCCGCCGCCGCUCGCCCCUUUCUCUGUAUGUCGCCAACGCAACCCUGUGCCCCAGGGUCGUUCCCUCCUUCCCACAAGGCUCGAGGAAGCCCAAGGAGGCGGCCAUGAGGAGCGCGCAGCCACCGGAGUCGUGGGCAGAUCUAGCCGGGGCCGUCGACAGCCAUCCCUCCCUCCGGGCGGCCAUGAAGAAUUUAAGCGGCUUGAGCAGAACUAGCACAUGGACCAUGCGCGCCUCCCGCGCUAGGAGCCACCGGUCCUCGUUAUCUGCUAGCAUCCACGAGGAAUCCAUCCAUAUAAUGUUACGACAUUUAAAAAUGUCAAAGGAUGUGACGAUGCAACGAAAGAACUUGAGUAGUGUUCUACUCGCCUUGGUGGAAAGGCACCAAAGGUAUUUUGUUCUAUGCCAGUCUGCAACAUGCAUUUUCAAUCUGCUAUGGACCUUUCUUUAUAGAAUAUUCUAGAUACAUAUUUGUAGCUUAAGAUAUUUUUGGUUCAAUGUUGAUUCAAUAGCUCCGAACCAUUAAUAUUUUUUUUCUUCUGAGAAUGCUUUUAACUGGAGCUCAAAGAAUUGGGAAGAACCUAUUCGCUAGCUUCAUGUUAUUCUGAACCGAGUAAAAGAACACACCCAUCUAUGAGGUACUUGAUGUGUUUUGUACUUUGUUUUCACACACACACAAUGGAUGUUAACUAUGUAUGUGGGAAUAGAAAGAUCCAGAAUUCUUGUAUUUGCACUUUUCCGCUUCCAUGUUUUCUAGCAAAAUGCUUCAUUAUAUUCACUGAAAACUUGUGAUGAUUAUUUGGUUUGCAAAUUUGUGUCCUCUUUAAUUCGUAGCAGGGAGCAUUGCCCUUACUUUGCAUGAUAAAACACUUGGAAGGGCUUUGAAGAAUCUUUUUUUGAGCAGUGAGAACAACCUUGAUCAUAAAAUAAACCUCCUUUUUGUUUUUAGACAUAAAAGAACCGUUGCCAAUGCCUAUCCUUCUACUACCUGCAGUUGGACCAAAUCUAAGAGAAGAUGGCCAGAACAACUUAUUUUUAGCGUGGUUGUGGGAUGCACAAACCUGGAACAAUGGGAUUUAUGUUUGUUAUAUCAUUGGGAACAAUAGCACUCGAUGUCAAGUAAUCUAUGUUCGAUACAUGAUAUAUUUGUAAUGAAAACUGCAACAUGUGCGAUUUGCGGAAUGUAAUGAAGUUUAAAAGUUCUGUUACUACCACAACCGAAUAUACAUAGUAUGUAGAUUUUCAGCACACGAGCUCACAUGCUUUUUUCUUAGAAAAUUCAAAGAAUGGAGUGUAGAUAAUUCAGAGAGAAAAUUUGUCAUAUAGAUUAUCUUGAGUCGAAGUUUGCAUGAAUUUCUGUUGUUGCUUUUUUUCUAUACAACCCAAAAGACGUAAAGAUUUUCACGAAACUUGAAACCUUGACAUAAUAAUGAAUCCAACAUCCCUAGAGUCGUAUGAGAUUAGGCAAAGAGAAUAGACAUAGAAUUUUUCUUAUCAUUUGAAUAUUGUCAAAUGACUAAUGAUGAGAAAUAUAUUCAUCUAGAUUUUGAGCACAAGCUUCUCAACUAUGUUCUGUAUUAAUACAAUUUCGUAAUAAAUUUAGGUUCUUAUUUUUUGUUUUUUAAAUUGUUUGUUAACAAGAAUAAAAGAAAAAAUUCUUCAAAAGGCUUUACAUGCAUUGCACGUGGAAGCUAACUAGUUUGUUAUAAUGCAUAAAAUCUUGGCAUGGGUUAAAUUGCUAAACCUUCAAGACUGUUCGUUGGAGUGAGGACGUGCUCGGACAUUGACCCUACCAUCCAUCAACUCAUUGUUGCUGAUAUCAUAGUGCAUACAACCUUUUUCACAUGUGUUAUCUUAUUUCACCAUGGAUAAUGCACUGCUUACGUAUAUUCAUUUGUUAUAUGCUUUACAUGACAAAUGGAUAUAUGCUGAUGGCCACACGUAUAGAGGCUGGCGAUCAACUCUGAAAAUUCAUAGUAUACACCAGAAAGGCUGGCGAUCAACUCUAAGUUUCACUUACAAGGCAUACAAAACAGAUGCAGCUAGAUUGGCUAUCUGCUGGAAGAUUUACAACCAGAAGAGUGGGAAUGGAUGAUUGAGUACUUUGGCACUGGUUCAAAAUUUCAGGACCACAGCCAAAAGAACACCGAUAGUCGUAAGAAACAGAAGACAAAACACAAAAUUGGAUCAAAAACUUACUCGCAACUAAGUUUUGAGAAGAGAAACUUGGAAACUGGAGAAGAGCCAGAUUGUAUUGUUCUGUGGGAACUCACCCACACAAAGAAUGGAACAUGGUCUAACACAGAGUCCCAGGAUGUUUACGAUCCAAAGAACUAGCUCGAUUGGACUCUAGAUCACGGACAAUUUAGUCUUGGAACUUAAUUAGGAUGGCUAAAUUACAUUUGAGUUUCAUUUGAUGGAUAUUUACUAUGAGAAUUAUGAAUUUUAUGAAUCUACAUAUUAUACGUGUGGUUUUAAAUAUUGUAAUUGAAUGCCUAUAUUUUUUUUAGGUUGCAAUAGGCUAUUGCCACAACCCACUUUUGGUUGCCA